rnacentral:rRNA from 1 species
AUUGAACGCUGGCGGCAUGCCUUACACAUGCAAGUCGAACGGCAGCACGGGAGCAAUCCUGGUGGCGAGUGGCGAACGGGUGAGUAAUAUAUCGGAACGUGCCCAGUCGUGGGGAUAACGUAGCGAAAGCUACGCUAAUACCGCAUACGAUCUAUGGAUGAAAGCGGGGGAUCGCAAGACCUCGCGCGAUUGGAGCGGCCGAUAUCAGAUUAGGUAGUUGGUGAGGUAAAGGCUCACCAAGCCGACGAUCUGUAGCUGGUCUGAGAGGACGACCAGCCACACUGGGACUGAGACACGGCCCAGACUCCUACGGGAGGCAGC